rnacentral:rRNA from 1 species
UACGUAGGGUGCAAGCGUUGUCCGGAAUUAUUGGGCGUAAAGAGUUCGUAGGCGGUUUGUCGCGUCCGUUGUGAAAGCCUGGGGCUCAACCCCAGGUCUGCAGUGGAUACGGGCAGGCUAGAGUCAGGUAGGGGAGGACGGAAUUCCUGGUGUAGCGGUGAAAUGCGCAGAUAUCAGGAGGAACACCGGUGGCGAAGGCGGUUCUCUGGGCCUGUACUGACGCUGAGGAACGAAAGCGUGGGGAGCGAACAGG